ACCCGGAUAGCUCAGUCGGUAGCAGAACAUGAGACUCUUAAUAUUAGGGGCGUGUGGGUUCGAGCCCCAUGUAGGGCA